rnacentral:rRNA from 1 species
UACGGAGGUUGCAAGCGUUAUCCGGAUUUAUUGGGUUUAAAGGGUGCGUAGGCCGGCCGAUAAGUCAGCGGUGAAAUACCAUGGCCCAACCAUGGAACUGCCGUUGAUACUGUCGGUCUUGAAUAUGGUCAAGGUAGGCGGAAUGUGUAAUGUAGCGGUGAAAUGCUUAGAUAUUACACAGAACACCGAUUGCGAAGGCAGCUCACAAAACUGUUACUGACGCUGAGGCACGAAAGCGUGGGGAGCGAACAGG